GACGAACGCUGACGGUGUGCUUUAGACAUGCAAGUCGAACGCGAAAGCCCUUCGGGGUUAGUAGAGUGGCGAACGGGUGAGUAACACGUGGGCAAUCUGCCCCUCGCAGGGGGACAACCCGGGGAAACCCGGGCUAAUACCCCGUACGCUUGUAGGAUCGCAUGAUCUUACAAGGAAAGGUAGCUUCGGCCAUCCGGCGAGGGAUGAGCCCGCGGUGCAUUAGCUAGUUGGUGGGGUAACGCCCACCAAGGCGACGAUGCAUAGCUGGUCUGAGAGGAUGAUCAGCCACAC
rnacentral:rRNA from 1 species